GCUCAGGAUGAACGCUAGCUACAGGCUUAACACAUGCAAGUCGAGGGGUAGCAGGGUAGCAAUACCGCUGACGACCGGCGCACGGGUGAGUAACACGUAUCCAACCUUCCCAUAACUCGGGGAUAGCCUUUCGAAAGAAAGAUUAAUACCCGAUAGUACUUUAUUAAGGCAUCUUAUUAAAGUUAAAGAUUUAUUGGUUAUGGAUGGGGAUGCGUUCCAUUAGAUAGUUGGUGAGGUAACGGCUCACCAAGUCUUCGAUGGAUAGGGGUUCUGAGAGGAAGGUCCCCCACAUUGGUACUGAGACACGGACCAAACUCCUACGGGAGGCAGCAGUGAGGAAUAUUGGUCAAUGGGCGAGAGCCUGAACC
rnacentral:rRNA from 1 species